UUCAGUUUCCUCCAAAACUAUUCACAUUCUAAACCCUAAGUGUGCCCCCAUAUUUGACAUCUCUCUAGUGAUAAUUGCGAAGGCUUCUCCGACGGAAUCUUUGCCACAGACCCGUAGUGAAGACGGAGAACCCACAUGCGAAGAUGGACGUCUUGUUCGCAAAGUUGCCACUUAGUUCAACCACAUUAAGAUCCGUUCCGUCAAGUGGAGGUACUCAUCUUUGAUUGCUGUAAAUUGAUUUUAGUUUUCUCAAUUCGUCAUUCUCAGAGUAAAGGUAAAUAUAUUUUGAUUCUGUUAAUCUAAAGCCUAAAUUAUAGCUACAGUCUCCGUUACCCCAUACAAAAGUUAUUGGCAUCGUUGAACCCAAUCUAUGCUACUAGAUUUCAACCAGUUCCUUCACCCAUAAUUAUGGCCUUGUUGGAUGGAGGUAACCAUUUAAAAGAGGGAGAGGCGGUUGCCUCACAGCCACCCUAUGCAACUUAUAAAGUAGCCAUAGUUUAUUAGAUGUUUUUUUGCCAUUCAUUCAUGUAACUGUUGUUUGUUAGCAGACCAUAUGUUUCUAGUUCUAUUUUUGGUUUCUAACGCGAUAUUUAAUCUUAGAAUGAAUGUAAUUCUAUGAAAGGGUGGAGUAG
rnacentral:lncRNA from 1 species